AUUUUGGAAGUGGGGGGGAAAAAAAAAAUAAAAAGUUCAUUCAAAAAAAUUAUUUCAAAAGAGAUUUCAUAUAAAGCCUUUAAAACACGGUCAGAAGUUUCUCCCUCUUCUCCAGAUCCCUGUGGCUGAACACUUACAGAGAGAAAGAGAGAAAAAGUAGAGAGAGUUUAUAACAAUCUCUGUAGAAGAAACAAAACAAUCCAGGAAAGAAAAUAUCCAAGGAUACGGUAAGGGAUAAAAUUACAUUUGUACAAAAAUAGAUUUUUAACUUUAUUGAUGCUUUAGAUAUUUUUUUCCUUAUCUUUUUUUUUUUGUCAUUCUAAAUUUUAAUGUCUUUUUUUUAGUCUAUGUAUCCCAUAGCCAAGGCAUCCAUCGCUAAGUAUUGGGAAUUGCUAAAGCUAUUCUUUACUCCAAACCACCUGCUUAAAAGAAAGGAAAGAAAAAAACAAAAUAAAAGAGGAAAAACAAAAGAAAAGAAGAAAAAGGAAACAAAAAGAAGAAAAACAAAACAAAAAGGCAUCUUAAAAUAGAUGCAGUUCCUUUGUCUCGAGGAAUAAAAAUCCAGAUUUGGCAUCUGCCAAUUCGGAAAGGGAUUCAGAUACAAUGGAAGCAAAACACGGGGGAAAAAAACCAAAAUAAAAAGCCAGGAGAGGAAAAAAAAAAACCAAAACAAAAAUCCAAGAAAAAAAAUUGACUUAAACCACAAAAAGCCAGGAAAAGUCUGUAAUUGCUACAGUUCUCUAAGUGUAUAUGUGAGUGGGGUAUUAUACAGUGUCGAUAUCUACAGUACAUACACGGACACACAGACACCCACCCAGCCCAGCCAGCCAGCCUGCAGUGAUGGGGACAGCACAGCCCCAGCCUGGCUUUGGGGACAGCUCCCCAGCCUGCCUUUGGGGUUGUCAGCUCCCCAGACUGCUUUUGGGAUCAGCAGCUCCCCAGACUGGUUUUAGGAUCAGCAGCCCAGCCUGGUUUUGGGGUCAGCUCCUCAGCCUGCUUUUGGGAUCAGCUCCCCAGCGCGGUUUUGGGAUCAGCAGCCCAGCCCAGGGCUGUCCCCGCUGCCACAGAGGGCUCAGCAGGGCCAGGGCUCAGCGUUUCCCAGCCCCAGGGCCACUCCUGGGCAGCUGCAGUGCCAAGGGAAGCUGGGCAUUGCCAUGGGGGGUUUGGGAUGUGCUGGAUUGGGAUUGGGUAUGGGGUGGGUGCAACAUGCAGCGAGGGGUGCAGCAGCUGGCUGAAAGGCUGAUGUUUGUGCUAUCUUUAGAAAAUUAA
rnacentral:lncRNA from 1 species